GGGUCAUUAAAGAAAGGCAGGAGAGAACUUUUGAUGCUGCUUUUCAGGCAUCCCAUUCAGUAGCAGCAGAGAACAAGAAAAUCCAACAAGGAAACAGCGUAGUACACGUUAACAGCUUUAAUUGGAGAACGGUUCUGCUUUUUUUUUUUUUCCCCCAAGCAGCGAGAGGAAAAGAUCCUUUGACCGAGUCAUGUGAUACUCAUCACGUGACUUGCAGUGACCCGCGGAAAAGGAAGAGGAAAAAAAAAAAAAAAAAAAGCAAACAUUCCUGCCGCCAGCGUUUAGGCUAUAGUAAAUGAUUAAAUGGUUUUUACUGCUGCCACCUCGAAUUUGAGGAUCUUUCAGACUUCCUCCUGAAGUAACUCAAAAGCUCAUUAAAAUACACAUACAGAAAUACAUAUCUGAUGUAAAACAGUACUCUGUUUUCAUUUAUCUCCUGUUAACAUCACAGGCAUUUGUUUUCAUUUAUCUCCUGUAACAUCACAGGCAUUAUCUUCUAAUGGUUUUUAUUAUCCAGACCGCUACCUCCAUUUAGAAAGUUUAAGAUACAUAUAACAUUUAGUAAUUUAGUGGGUUUGCUCUGAAAUGUCCUUCUGUAACUUGAUCCACUCUCCAAGCUCAACCUUUAAUGCCCACAGCACACAAUGGUCUAUAGAAUAUAGGCUUGAUCAAUGUGUUCCUCAAACAUGGGAUUCAUGUUUCAGAUUGGCAUUUGCCUCUCAAGUUAAUAAAGGGUAUCACUUUAAGUGUUGGUUUCAUUUUAUUUCUGAUUUUGUUUUGUUGUUUGUAUGUUUAUUUUAAGACUUAACCUGGACAUUAAUACAGAUGCCUGAUGGAUGGCAUUGUCACUCAUGUUGAUGAAAUCUUCAAAGACAGGCCGUGAUUCAGGCUCAGAACACCCUACCCAACCUCCCAUAGAGACCAAAGAUGUUGUUACAAGAGAGGAGAAGACUAUUGAACUGUGUUUCCUAAAAAAGAUAUGCUUCUGUACCAGCACCUCAGAAUGCAAUUUUAUUUGGGAAUGAGGUCAUUGCAAAUAAAAUUGGUUAAGAUGAGGUCAUGUUGGAGUAGAAUGGAACCCCAAUCCAAUAUGGUAUCCUUAUAAGAAGACAGCCAUGUGAAGACACAGAGACACAGGGAGAAUGCCAUGUGAAGAUGGAAACAGAUUAAAAUGAUGCCUUUAAAGCGAAGAAGCCCCAAGGAUUGCUGGCCGUCACCAGCAAGUAGAAGAGAGGCACGAAUUCUCCCUCAGAAAGAAUCGAUUCUGCUGACAUCUUGAUCUUGCACUUCUAGCCUCUACAACUAUGGGACAUUAAACUUCUGUUGUUUUAAGUCACCCAGUUUGUGUUACUU